rnacentral:rRNA from 1 species
CCACCGAAUGACUAAGGUUUCCUGGGGAAGGCUCGUCCGCCCAGGGUUAGUCGGGACCUAAGCCGAGGCCGACAGGCGUAGGCGAUGGAUAACAGGUUGAUAUUCCUGUACCCGUUGUUUUUGUUUGAGCAAUGGAGGGACGCAGGAGGCUAAGGAAUGCAGACGAUCGGAAAUGUCUGUCCAAGCAGUAAGUCUGAAGAGGAGUCAAAUGCUUCUUUUCUUAAGGACAAGCUGUGAUGGGGAGGGAAAUAAUAGUACCGAAGUUCCUGAUGUCACACUGCCGAGAAA